AUGUUCAUCUCCUGGAAGAUCUUGUGAAAAUGCAGAUUCUGAUUCAGGAGGUCAGGGGUGGGACCAGAGUCUGCAUUUCUAACAAGUUCCCAGGUGGUGCUGAU
rnacentral:pre_miRNA from 1 species